rnacentral:rRNA from 1 species
UAGGGAAUAUUGGACAAUGGGCGAAAGCCUGAUCCAGCAAUGCCGCGUGAGUGAUGAAGGCCUUAGGGUUGUAAAGCUUCUUUACCCGAGAUG